ensembl:lncRNA
CUGAUCUCAGCAUCUGAGAAGGAAAAGUAACAGAGUUUCAGGGAUCAAUAGAGCAGAGGUAGGAAGCUACUGGAAGGACAUGGAAGGAAUCAGUUGCCCAUGCCUCCAAUUCAGGCUUGUAGGACAGUUACAGAGAUGUCCAUAUCCAUAAGCCUGGGGCAGGGAGACCUAUGGGGAAGCACAUGUCACUCACCUUCCCAUCUCCUCCUGAGAUUAUCUGCUUCUGGUCAGUUGUGAGGGCACUUGGAGUAUGUCCCAGUAUCUGGAAGUGAGGCCUGGCCCUGAGAGAAUGGAGGAAAUGAA